UCGAAACCAUGAGGAAGUUUUCUGUC
rnacentral:piRNA from 1 species